rnacentral:rRNA from 1 species
UGGGGAAUAUUGCACAAUGGGGGAAACCCUGACCCAGCAACGCCGCGUGAAGGAAGAAGGCUUUCGGGUUGUAAACUUCUUUUGUCGGGGACGAAACAAAUGACGGUACCCGACGAAUAAGCCACGGCUAACUACGUGCCAGCAGCCGCGGUAAUACGUAGGUGGCAAGCGUUAUCCGGAUUUACUGGGUGUAAAGGGCGUGUAGGCGGGAUUGCAAGUCAGAUGUGAAAACUAUGGGCUCAACCCAUAGCCUGCAUUUGAAACUAUCGUUCUUGAGUGCUGGAGAGGCAAUCGGAAUUCCGUGUGUAGCGGUGAAAUGCGUAGAUAUACGGAGGAACACCAGUGGCGAAGGCGGCUUGCUGGACGACAACUGACGCUGAGGCGCGAAAGCGUGGGGAGCAAACAGGAUUAAUACC